rnacentral:rRNA from 1 species
CAGUAGCCGCGGGAAUACGUAGGUGGCAAGCGUUGUCCGGAAUUAUUGGGCGUAAAGGGCUCGCAGGCGGUUUCUUAAGUCUGAUGUGAAAGCCCCCGGCUCAACCGGGGAGGGUCAUUGGGAACUGGGAAACUUGAGUGCAGAAGAGGAGAGCGGAAUUCCACGUGUAGCGGUGAAAUGCGUAGAGAUGUGGAGGAACACCAGUGGCGAAGGCGACUCUCUGGUCUGUAACUGACGCUGAGGAGCGAAAGCGUGGGGAGCGAACAGGAUUAGAUACCCCUGUAGUCCCUGUCUCUUAUAC